UACGUAGGGCGUAAGCGUUUGUCCGGAUUUAUUGGGUUUAAAGGGUGCGUAGGCGGCCCUGUAAGUCAGUGCUGAAAUACCCCGGCUUAACCGGGGGGGUGGCAUUGAUACUGCAGGGCUUGAGUACAGAUGAGGUAGGCGGAAUUAGACGGUGUAGCGGUGAAAUGCAUAGAUAUCGUCAAGAACACCGAUAGCGAAGGCAGCUUACUGGGCUGUAACUGACGCUGAUGCACGAAAGUGUGGGGAUCAAACAGG
rnacentral:rRNA from 1 species